CGCGCGGCGCGCUUGAGGUCCGCCUCCACGAACGACCGCACAUCCAUCAAGGCGCCUGAACGGAGCAGUCGAUUAGCAUGAUGGAAGCAGCGCGCAGGCAGGACUGCAGGAGGACCGCUGUUAAGUCGUACCUGUGCCGGCGAGCCCGACGGCGGCGGAGGGCAUGGCGGUGACGACGGCGAGGCGGUACUGCUGCGGCUGGCCCGGCGGGAAGAAGUGCUGCAGCGCCCACUGCAGCGCGUAGAAGCUGUGCUCGCUCUCGUCGACCCCCGCCACCAUCGUCAUCUUCGUCCCCGCCGCAGCCGCCAGCGCAGGCGCCUCCUCCGCCAUG
rnacentral:lncRNA from 1 species